UACGAAGGGGGCUAGCGUUGCUCGGAAUCACUGGGCGUAAAGCGCACGUAGGCGGCUUUUAAGUCAGGGGUGAAAUCCUGGAGCUCAACUCCAGAACUGCCUUUGAUACUGAGAAGCUUGAGUCCGGGAGAGGUGAGUGGAACUGCGAGUGUAGAGGUGAAAUUCGUAGAUAUUCGCAAGAACACCGGUGGCGAAGGCGGCUCACUGGCUCAUUACUGACGCUCAGGCGCGAUAGCGUGGGGAGCAAACAGG
rnacentral:rRNA from 1 species